rnacentral:rRNA from 1 species
AGAGUUUGAUCCUGGCUCAGGAUGAACGCUGGCGGCGUGCUUAACACAUGCAAGUCGAACGAAGCACUUAUCUUUGAUUCUUCGGAUGAAGAGGUUUGUGACUGAGUGGCGGACGGGUGAGUAACGCGUGGGUAACCUGCCUCAUACAGGGGGAUAACAGUUAGAAAUGACUGCUAAUACCGCAUAAGACCACGGAGCCGCAUGGCUCAGUGGGAAAAACUCCGGUGGUAUGAGAUGGACCCGCGUCUGAUUAGGUAGUUGGUGGGGUAACGGCCUACCAAGCCAACGAUCAGUAGCCGACCUGAGAGGGUGACCGGCCACAUUGGGACUGAGACACGGCCCAAACUCCUACGGGAGGCAGCAGUGGGGAAUAUUGCACAAUGGGGGAAACCCUGAUGCAGCGACGCCGCGUGAGCGAAGAAGUAUUUCGGUAUGUAAAGCUCUAUCAGCAGGGAAGAAAAUGACGGUACCUGACUAAGAAGCACCAGCUAAAUACGUGCCAGCAGCCGUGGUAAUACGUAUGGUGCAAGCGUUAUCCGGAUUUACUGGGUGUAAAGGGAGCGUAGACGGCUGUGUAAGUCUGAAGUGAAAUCCAUGGGCUUAACCCAUGAACUGCUUUUGAAACUGUUAGUCUUGAGUGAAGUAGAGGUAGGCGGAAUUCCCGGUGUAGCGGUGAAAUGCGUAGAGAUCGGGAGGAACACCAGUGGCGAAGGCGGCCUACUGGGCUUUAACUGACGCUGAGGCACGAAAGUGUGGGUAGCAAACAGGAUUAGAUACCCUGGUAGUCCACACUGUAAACGAUGAUUACUAGGUGUGGGGGGUCUACCCCCCUCCGUGCCGGAGUUAACACAAUAAGUAAUCCACCUGGGGAGUACGACCGCAAGGUUGAAACUCAAAGGAAUUGACGGGGGCCCGCACAAGCAGUGGAGUAUGUGGUUUAAUUCGACGCAACGCGAAGAACCUUACCAGGUCUUGACAUCCAACUAACGAAGCAGAGAUGCAUCAGGUGCCCUUCGGGGAAAGUUGAGACAGGUGGUGCAUGGUUGUCGUCAGCUCGUGUCGUGAGAUGUUGGGUUAAGUCCCGCAACGAGCGCAACCCUUGUAAUUAGUUGCUACGCAAGAGCACUCUAAUCAGACUGCCGUUGACAAAACGGAGGAAGGUGGGGACGACGUCAAAUCAUCAUGCCCUUUAUGACCUGGGCUACACACGUACUACAAUGGUCGUUAACAGAGGGAAGCAAUACCGCGAGGUGGAGCAAAACCCUAAAAACGGUCUCAGUUCAGAUUGUAGGCUGCAACUCGCCUACAUGAAGUUGGAAUUGCUAGUAAUCGCGGAUCAGCAUGCCGCGGUGAAUACGUUCCCGGGCCUUGCACACACCGCCCGUCA